GCCCCCAUAGCUCAGUUGGUAGAGCGCGGCACUAGUAAUGCCGAGGUCUACGGUUCAACUCCGUAUGUGGGCA
rfam:Pseudogymnoascus sp. WSF 3629 unplaced genomic scaffold scaffold_228, whole genome shotgun sequence.